CGGACGGGUGAGUAAUGUAUAGCUAAUCUGCCCUUUAGAGGGGGAUAACAGUUGGAAACGACUGCUAAUACCCCAUACUCCUUUUAUCUUAAUGAUAAUUGGGAAACGUUUUUUCGCUAAAGGAUGAGACUAUAUGGUAUCAGGUAGUUGGUGGGGUAAGAGCCUACCAAGCCUAUGACGCCUAGCUGGUCUGAGAGGAUGAUCAGCCACACUGGAACUGAGACACGGUCCAG
rnacentral:rRNA from 1 species